GAAAACUUGUAGGCGGCGGCGGCGAUAGUACGAAGGGGGAAGUCGUUAAUCGGAAUUGCUGUUCGGAAAGCGCUCGUAGGUGGUUCAGUAAGUUGGAAGUGAAAUCCCCGGGCGCAACCUGGGAACUGCUUUCAAAACUGCUGAGCUAGAGUACGGUAGAGGGUGGUGGAAUUUCCUGUGUAGCGGUGAAAUGCGUAGAUAUAGGAAGGAACACCAGUGGCGAAGGCGACCACCUGGACUGAUACUGACACUGAGGUGCGAAAGCGUGGGGAGCAAACAGGAUUAGAUACCCCGGUAGUC
rnacentral:rRNA from 1 species